rnacentral:lncRNA from 1 species
CACGAAGGUAAUGUGUUCUGAACACAUAACAGUAAAAUGUUUAUUGUAGAAUUCAAAAUUUUAAAUUUAAAUGCAUGCUAUAUAUAUCAUGUUGGGUAUAAAAUACCCCCCAGCCGAAGUUCAUGAUGGGAAUGACCCUCCGGGGAUUCUACCGACUUCCGACCUUCGGCGGCAUCUCUCUGAACCUCUCUGACGGCCGAGCCUCCGCAACACUCCCAAAUUUUGUCGAUGGAUAAGCCCCCACC